GUAGGCGGAUCGUUAAGUCGGGGGUGAAAUCCUGGAGCUCAACUCCAGAACUGCCUUCGAUACUGGCGAUCUUGAGUCCGGAAGAGGUGGGUGGAACUCCUAGUGUAGAGGUGGAAUUCGUAGAUAUUAGGAAGAACACCAGUGGCGAAGGCGGCUCACUGGUCCGGUACUGACGCUGAGGUGCGAAAGCGUGGGGAGCAAACAGGAUUCGAUACCCUGGUAGUCCACGCCGUAAACUAUGAGAGCUAGCCGUUGGAGGGUUUACCCUUCAGUGGCGCAGCUAACGCAUUAAGCUCUCCGCCUGGGGAGUACGGUCGCAAGAUUAAAACUCAAAGGAAUUGA
rnacentral:rRNA from 1 species